AUUUGUAGAAAAAAAAUUAAUUAGAAUGAAUUAUUGUUUCAAAUGAUCAAUAAUAGUGUUCUGAUAAUUUUUUGGUGCACUGUUUGGUUUUAUAUUAGAUGUAAUAAUCAAUACAAUAGGUUGUUUCGCAAUUAAACGUUCAGUUGCAGUUUGCUCGAUGACGAGAACUAUUUAUCUCGGCCUUCGAAUUUAACAACCAUUGGUGGAGAUCAUCCCGAGACUUUUCAUUGGUUGUUGAUUUGUAUCUGAC